rnacentral:rRNA from 1 species
AUGGCUACUAAUAAUCAGGCUAUGCUACAACGACGACGACGACGACUGCGGAAGGGGCUGCGCCUGCGCCGGCGGCGGCGGAGGGGCGGCGACGAUCUGGGCGUAGAGGAAGUGGUUCCAGGUGUCGGGGAGGCCCGGGAGGCACCAGUGGAUGCAGUCGGCGUAGGUGCGCGGGUCGGCCUGCUGCUCGGGGGUCAGCAGCUUCCCCUGCCUGAGCGUGUGCACGGAGGUGUGCGCGUCCUUGCGGAACUCGGAGAGCGCGGUGAUGUCGACGAGGUGGACGGGCACGCGGCGCAUGGUGCGCAGCACCGCCUCCGCCGCGCCGUGCAGCCGCCAGUCGGUGCCGAUGUAGAGCGGGCCCGUGUGGUUGAGGAUCGGCUGCGUCUCCAUGGCGCACUUGAUGGCGCCCGGCCCCCCGCCCCACGCCUCCGGCCUGCACACACACACACACAUAGAUAG